rfam:Triticum urartu cultivar G1812 contig861196, whole genome shotgun sequence.
UACAUACUCCCUCUGUUCGGAAUUACUUGUCUUGGAUAUGGAUGUAUCUAGAACUAAAACACGUCUAGAUACAUUCAUUUCUGCAACAAGUAAUUCCGAACGGAGGGAGUACCUA